UUGAAAUACCACCCUUUAAUGUUUGAUGUUCUAACGUUGACCCGUAAUCCGGGUUGCGGACAGUGUCUGGUGGGUAGUUUGACUGGGGCGGUCUCCUCCUAAAGAGUAACGGAGGAGCACGAAGGUUGGCUAAUCCUGGUCGGACAUCAGGAGGUUAGUGCAAUGGCAUAAGCCAGCUUGACUGCGAGCGUGACGGCGCGAGCAGGUGCGAAAGCAGGUCAUAGUGAUCCGGUGGUUCUGAAUGGAAGGGCCAUCGCUCAACGGAUAAAAGGUACUCCGGGGAUAACAGGCUGAUACCGCCCAAGAGUUCAUAUCGACGGCGGUGUUUGGCACCUCGAUGUCGGCUCAUCACAUCCUGGGGCUGAAGUAGGUCCCAAGGGUAUGGCUGUUCGCCAUUUAAAGUGGUACGCGAGCUGGGUUUAGAACGUCGUGAGACAGUUCGGUCCCUAUCUGCCGUGGGCGCUGGAGAACUGAGGGGGGCUGCUCCUAGUACGAGAGGACCGGAGUGGACGCAUCACUGGUGUUCGGGUUGUCAUGCCAAUGGCACUGCCCGGUAGCUAAAUGCGGAAGAGAUAAGUGCUGAAAGCAUCUAAGCACGAAACUUGCC
rnacentral:rRNA from 1 species